rnacentral:misc_RNA from 1 species
GAUGAAGAACGCAGCGAAAUGCGAUACGUAAUGUGAAUUGCAGAAUUCAGUGAAUCAUCGAAUCUUUGAACGCACAUUGCGCCCGCCAGUAUUCUGGCGGGCAUGCCUGUCCGAGCGUCAUUUCAACCCUCGAACCCCUCCGGGGGGUCGGCGUUGGGGAUCGGCCCUGCCUUUGGCGGUGGCCGUCUCCGAAAUACAGUGGCGGUCUCGCCGCAGCCUCUCCUGCGCAGUAGUUUGCACACUCGCAUCGGGAGCGCGGCGCGUCCACAGCCGUUAAACACCCAACUUCUGAAAUGUUGACCUCGGAUCAGGUAGGAAUACCCGCUGAACUUAAGCAUAUCAAUAAGCGGAGGA